CAGUCGCCGCGGGAAUACGUAGGUGGCAAGCGUUGUCCGGAAUUAUUGGGCGCAAAGGGCUCGCAGGCGGUUUCUUAAGUCUGAUGUGAAAGCCCCCGGCUCAACCGGGGAGGGUCAUUGGAAACUGGGAAACUUGAGUGCAGAAGAGGAGAGUGGAAUUCCACGUGUAGCGGUGAAAUGCGUAGAGAUGUGGAGGAACACCAGUGGCGAAGGCGACUCUCUGGUCUGUAACUGACGCUGAGGGGCGAAAGCGUGGGGAGCGAACAGGAUUAGAGACCCGUGUAGUCCCUGUCUCUUAUAC
rnacentral:rRNA from 1 species